rnacentral:rRNA from 1 species
UAGGGAAUCUUCGGCAAUGGGGGGAACCCUGACCGAGCAACGCCGCGUGAGUGAAGAAGGUUUUCGGAUCGUAAAGCUCUGUUGUUAAGGAAGAACGAGUGUGAGAAUGGAAAGUUCAUGCUGUGACGGUACUUAACCAGAAAGGGACGGCUAACUACGUGCCAGCAGCCGCGGUAAUACGUAGGUCCCGAGCGUUAUCCGGAUUUAUUGGGCGUAAAGCGAGCGCAGGCGGUUAGAAAAGUCUGAAGUGAAAGGCAGUGGCUCAACCGGGGAGGGUCAUUGGAAACUGGUUGACUUGAGUGCAGAAGAGGGGAGUGGAAUUCCAUGUGUAGCGGUGAAAGGCGUAGAUAUAUGGAGGAACACCAGUGGCGAAGGCGACUCUCUGGUCUGUAACUGACGCUGGGGUUCGAAAGCGUGGGUAGCAAACAGG